rnacentral:tRNA from 1 species
GGUGAGGUGGCGGAGCCUGGCCUAACGCGCCGGUCUUGAAAACCGGUGGCAUUUGCCUCCUGGGUUCGAAUCCCAGCCUCACCG